CCUACGGGAGGCUGCAGUGGGGAAUAUUGGACAAUGGGGGCAACCCUGAUCCAGCCAUGCCGCGUGUGUGAAGAAGGCCCUCGGGUUGUAAAGCACUUUCAGUGAGGAAGAACGCCUGGUGGUUAAUACCCAUCAGGGAAAGACAUCACUCACAGAAGAAGCACCGGCUAACUCCGUGCCAGCAGCCGCGGUAAUACGGAGGGUGCGAGCGUUAAUCGGAAUUACUGGGCGUAAAGCGCGCGUAGGUGGCUUGAUAAGCCGGUUGUGAAAGCCCCGGGCUCAACCUGGGAACGGCAUCCGGAACUGUCAAGCUAGAGUGCAGGAGAGGAAGGUAGAAUUCCCGGUGUAGCGGUGAAAUGCGUAGAGAUCGGGAGGAAUACCAGUGGCGAAGGCGGCCUUCUGGACUGACACUGACACUGAGGUGCGAAAGCGUGGGUAGCAAACAGGAUUAGAUACCCUGGUAGUC
rnacentral:rRNA from 1 species